rnacentral:rRNA from 1 species
CCUACGGGAGGCAGCAGUGAGGAAUAUUGGUCAAUGGGCGCUAGCCUGAACCAGCCAAGUAGCGUGAAGGAUGACUGUCCUAUGGGUUGUAAACUUCUUUUAUAUGGGAAUAAAGUGCAGUAUGUAUACUGCUUUGCAUGUACCUUAUGAAUAAGGAUCGGCUAACUCCGUGCCAGCAGCCGCGGUAAUACGGAGGAUCCGAGCGUUAUCCGGAUUUAUUGGGUUUAAAGGGAGCGUAGGCGGGUUGUUAAGUCAGUGGUGAAAGUUUGCGGCGCAACCGUAAAAUUGCCGUUGAUACUGGCAUCCUGGAGUGCAGUAGAGGUAGGCGGAAGUCGUGGUGUAGCGGUGAAAUGCAUAGAUAUCACGAAGAACUCCGAUUGCGAAGGCAGCCUGCUGGACUAUAACUGACGCUGAUGCUCGAAAGUGUGGGUAGCAAACAGGAUUAGAUACCCCUGUAGUC